GCUCCCGUGGCGCAAUUGGCCAGCGCGUUAGACUGUUAAUCUAAAGAUUGGUGGUUCAAGCCCACCCGGGAGCG
rnacentral:tRNA from 1 species